AUCCUUGCUUAGAGGCAGUAUUGUAACUCAUGAAGUCUAUCUGAGGCGUGAUUAUUGCUAGUUGAAAACUUUACCCAAUAACCUGCCUGGGCGACCUGAAAUAUGGUUAACCAUGGCAAUUUUUGACAGUUUCCUACGGGC